UGAGGAAUAUUGCACAAUGGAGGAAACUCUGAUGCAGCAACGCCGCGUGAAGGAUGAAGGUUUUCGGAUUGUAAACUUCUUUUAUUGGGGAAGAUAAUGACGGUACCCAAUGAAUAAGCCACGGCUAACUACGUGCCAGCAGCCGCGGUAAUACGUAGGUGGCAAGCGUUGUCCGGAAUUACUGGGUGUAAAGGGCGAGUAGGCGGGUUUUCAAGUCAGAUGUGAAAUCUGGAGGCUCAACCUCCAAACUGCAUUUGAAACUGAAAGUCUUGAGUGAUGGAGAGGCAGGCGGAAUUCCCGGUGUAGCGGUGGAAUGCAUAGAUAUCGGGAGGAACACCAGUGGCGAAGGCGGCCUGCUGGACAUUAACUGACGCUGAGGAGCGAAAGCGUGGGGAGCAAACA
rnacentral:rRNA from 1 species